UAAAGCUAGAUUACCAAAGCAG
rnacentral:miRNA from 12 species